rnacentral:lncRNA from 1 species
ACUUAAGGGGUUACUCAGCAGCUGGUUACAUAAAGAAAAUAUUGAAAAUUCCUUCCAGCAACACCUCAGCAUAUGCAUCAAUGGUUGGUCUUUUAUGAGGAUGACAUGUGGCAAGCAGUCUCCUUUAUUUUAUUUUCCCUUCCAACUUAUCCACCAAUUCUUCCAUGUAGCUAUUUUAAUUCCUUGAUAAAUUAGAAAGGAUGGAG